CAGCAGCCACGGUAAUACGAAGGGGGCUAGCGUUGUUCGGAUUUACUGGGCGUAAAGCGCACGUAGGCGGACUUUUAAGUCAGGGGUGAAAUCCCGGGGCUCAACCCCGGAACUGCCUUUGAUACUGGAAGUCUUGAGUAUGGUAGAGGUGAGUGGAAUUCCGAGUGUAGAGGUGAAAUUCGUAGAUAUUCGGAGGAACACCAGUGGCGAAGGCGGCUCACUGGACCAUUACUGACGCUGAGGUGCGAAAGCGUGGGGAGCAAACAGGAUUAGAUACCCCCGUAGUCCCUGUCUCUUAUAC
rnacentral:rRNA from 1 species